rnacentral:lncRNA from 10 species
AGAGGGUAGUUCAGAGGCAAAAGAGGCUUAAGGCUGUAGCUCUUUUCAUAUUUAUAAACAGUUUUGGGCCUACAGGCGUACUGGUUAAAUAUCACUUCUGGCCUACAGGAAGACCUUGCAAGAAAGAAACAAGCCCUUGUCCAACUUAGCCCGCGUAAUAAUAGAAGGAGAAAGAGAGCAGAAUGCAGCUGACCUUUCUCCUGUGACCAGCAAUCCAGGACGUGUGGGGG